UACGAAGGGGGCAAGCGUUGUUCGGAUUUACUGGGCGUAAAGGGCGCGUAGGCGGUCAGCACAAGUCAGUUGUGAAAUCUCCGGGCUUAACUCGGAAAGGUCAACUGAUACUGUGCGACUAGAGUGCAGAAGGGGCAACUGGAAUUCUCGGUGUAGCGGUGAAAUGCGUAGAUAUCGAGAGGAACACCUGCGGCGAAGGCGGGUUGCUGGGCUGACACUGACGCUGAGGAGCGAAAGCGUGGGGAGCGAACAGG
rnacentral:rRNA from 1 species